AAUAGAAAGAGUGAGUCAUCAUGACCUUAUCAGGGGAGUUUUCAGAGGAAGCUUGAUGAAGCCAUCUGGUAAGCUCAGGACCUCACAGGGCCUGAAGCUUUCCCCACCUCAAGGUCUGUGGAUGGAGAAAACUGCUAGAACUUCUGACUGAGAGUUGUAGCCAAAGGUUAAGGAGGAGAGCAGCAGUAAAAAGAAAACCAAGGGCACCAUGAGGGGGAAGAAGAAGAGAAUGACAUCUGAGAGGUGGGACCCCUGAUGCACUUCAAAGGCAGACUCGGUAUGAGCUGACACAGGUGACUCCAGUGUAAAGGAAAAGAACUGUUGGGGACCAUCCUCCGCACUACCUCCU
rnacentral:lncRNA from 1 species